rnacentral:lncRNA from 1 species
GUAACCCUAGCUUGGAAAUUUGAUUCAAACUACAGCUUUUUCAGAUUCAGUAGCAUCAACAAAUACAACCCUAAAGGGAUCAUUUUCAGUUGGGACCAAACGCCAUCCAUUCUCAUCUCUAUACCUCCCAAUAUCACUACAAGCACCAGGUGGAGCACUGAACAAUGGACAAUACACAAGCUUGUAUGCUCCUGAUCCUGAACCAAGUGUCUCAAUUUUAAAUUUACCUUGAAAUGCAUCAAUAUUAUCACCAAUACCUACCCAAGAUGUAGGGAAGUCAUCAUGAGCUAGAACCCAUUUUGCAGAUUCAGCACACUUUGGUUUCUUAACAAACUCAAUAUCUAGUUCGUCAGUUGUAAAGAUGACACCACGUCUUACUCGAAUGAUAAACCUAACUGGAAAGCCUCUAACAACCUCAGAAAAAUCUUGUAUGACAGUAACUGGACAUUCUGAGUCUCCUGUUUUACCAAGCUUCAAUCCACCACCUCCUCCUUUAGAUAUAAGUGGUGCAAUAUAGUAUUUGCCACCAGGAAAUACGGGGUUUCCAUUUAUGUCUUCAACUGUUUCAGUAAAAGCUAAUGGAAAGUAGGUAAAGGAAAAGAGGAGAGAAAAGGUAAAUAAUGUUGAUUUCAUGGUUUGUGAAGUUUCAAUGAUAGAUGUGUGUGUUUGUUUUGUAAUUGGUUCAUGGGUUAAACUUCUAUUUAUAGACUUUUCAAAGGGUAGGUUUGGAGUUGAUUUGCAUAGCGUGUAUAGAAAAUCAUUCAUGUUUAUCGUCGUAAUAUUGAUAUACAAAUACUACUAUAUCGCACAUGCAAGAAAAUAAUAAUUACUGUUAUAAUAAUAAUAAUAAUAAUAAUAAUAAUAAGUUUCGUGUCGUUUAUAUACCACAUGAUGUAUUACCAAACUUCGAUGAAAGCAAGGGGAAACUUUGGUAUGCAUGACACUUAAAAAAAAAAAAGAAGGUAUCCUUCGUAUAGAGCUUUAGUCCUUGAAGCCAAUACACUAAUAGAAGAUGCAAGUGUUUCCAACACUACACUGGUUAUAGCAAGAUCAAUUGACACCUCAUCAUUAUAGCAAGAUCUAUUUAGUUAUAACCCCGUAACUUGUUAGACAAGUUAACCAUCAAGAUUAUUAUCUCUCUAAAUUGAGUGUUUGUAACUAACUUGUACUUAAUAAUAUGGCAUCAUGACCUUUUCGAGCUCUUGCUCCAUCAUUCGUUAAUUUUCUUGGAGUUUCUUUUGAUUUCUAAGAAGAUUCUUAUGAUUUCUUUGAAUUCAAGGAAUUUUUUUCCUUUUUUCUUAUAUAUUUUUUUUUUAUAUCUUUCUUUGUAUUUUCUUCAACUUCAGAGUUAUCUUUGAAGCUUGCUAUCAGUAAUAGUAAUAAUCUUUGUUUUGAUGAUGCCUUAGUGAGUUGUUGAUUUUCAUUAGUUUUUUGUUAAAGCAUCUAGCAAUCACUGUGAUUCAUCUUGCCUUUAGUUGUCGUAUGGUAUGUGUUUCUUAUAACUCAAGCUAGUCACUUAUGUUGUCAAAAUUGUGUUUUCUGCAGGUUGAAUCGAUUCAGACAUACCUGAACGUAUCACCCAAUGUCUCUGACUUAGGAUGGUUUCACAAAAUUAUGAAUCGAUUCAUUUUUGAAUCAACUAAAAAAUGUGUGAAUCGUAUCACAAAAUGUUUCUGACUUGCCAUGAAUCGAUUCAAACUUUUUUGAGUCGUAUCAACCUUCAUUCUGGGCACUUUGAAUCGACUCAAAUCUCACAUGAUACGCUUCCAUCUUCAUAGCAUUCUUCUUGUUUCCAGUUUUGUAUUUUAGCUGCUUGAAUCGAAUCAUACAUUUAGUGAAUCGAUUCAUGUAGUUGUUUUUGGACGAAAAUUUGUACUUGCCCUCACUUUCUAUAUAUACCCACCUUCUCAUCAUACCAAAAUUAUUGUAUCAUUUGCAUCUAUUCUCUCUAGGUCUAAAAAACUCAUUGUUCAUAAAUUCUUCAAGAUUAAACACUUUUUCAUAUAAUCACUUUGUACAUUAAGUGAAAUUGAUUGCUAGGGUGCUUAUGGGGAUUUUAAGUUGGUUCUCUCAAGGAAUUUGGUUGGGCUUAAUUAAGGUUCCAAAGUGAAGUGAAUAAUCCCAUUCCACCUCUAAUGAUCUUGGGGGUCUUUCUAACCGUUCUUGCAAUCGAAGGGGAUUCGUUUACCGGACGUAGCAUCGAAGACUUGAGUGAAGAGCUCGAAGGGGUGCAUGGGUAAUCAAGGAUUCGAAAAUUCAAGAAGCACCAAAUUCAAAGGUUAUUUGAAGUUUGGAGGAGUGUUUACAUAGGGGUUGAAGAACUAGUUUAGCUUCAUGGAACUCUUUUAAUCACAUUUGUGUUCAACAUUGUUACUAUUAGUGGAUGACCUUGGUGGAGGCGUUUUUCACCAAGAGUAGACGUAGCUCUAGCGAGGAUGAGAAAUAGCAAAUUACUAUAAAAAGAUCGGUGUUAUCUCUCUUUCUUAUCCUCUUUACUUUAAAUUGUUGCAUGUGUUAAUUGAUUAAUUGUUAGGAUAGAAACUUGUAUUGAUCUAAGUUGUUUUCGAUAAAAAUUAAUCUAAUUCUUUGAAUUGAAUUUUUGUACUUAGCUUAGAUCAAUUGAUUUCAAUUACUAUUCGAUUCUUCAAUUACAUAUGCAUUGUGCUUUUGAUUGAUAGCUUGUUAUAUUUUCAUAUAGGUUUGGUUUUGAAAUUGUCUAGUUUUAAAAAUUGUUCAAGAACCAUUAAGUUUUGAUUGUAAUAAUAUUUUUAUUGUGAAUAUCUCCAUUCUAUAUUGAAUCUUAUUAGCACAUAGCUUUAUCUUUUUGCAUAUUUUUGUGAUUGUUCAAGUUUGUUUUCAAUAGUCAAAUCAAUUCAAAUAGCUUUUUGUUAAAACUUCGUUUUUUUUUUCAAAACGAUAUUCACCCCCUAUAGCGUGCAACCUUAUUGGCCAUAUAGACGAAUCUUCUUCAAGCUUCCAUGACGUCUAACACAAAUGCUUCUACCAACAUCGUUUAAAGCAAUGCCGCCACCAAUCUUGAAUUUCAUAAAGUUUCUGAAUACCAUGUGCAUCCUGGUGAAGGUCCGAAUUCUGUAACUGUUUCACCUAGCUGCAUAUGGUUUUCAGGACAUUUUGUAAUGAUUUCAUUUCGAGUCAUGUAAUUCUAAUUUUUUGGUACAUAACAAUUUUAUGAUGUUUUGAUGUAAUUCACGAAGAAAUCAUGCAAAUCGGCAAAGCAAAACAACUUGAAGACUUGAGAAGAUAUGGGAGGAUAGUGAAUGAAGACUUUAGGACCAUUGAGAAUUUAGGAACUCUAAUUUAAGUCUUUGUUUCAAUUACCUCUGAGAGAGUAAUUACCCCACAUACAUUUACAUGCGAAGGUGCACCCCCUAUAGAAUUGACGACACUAAGCAUUAAGACAUGUAGAAACUUCGUUGUAAGGUUACAACUGAAUAGUUGGAGAGGAUCAACACCUGAAUGAACUCAUCACUUAAAUAUAAGACAUAAUUUAAAUAUCUAAAUAAUGCUUGACCAUUAAUUAAUUCCAACAAAUGUAUAGAGGGGAUUCAAAAAUCCAAACCGUCGCUAGCAUUAUGUAAUUAAAUCCUAACUCAUGGGAAAAUCUAAAAAAUAUUUAUGGAGAGAGGAGAGACAAGUAAUUCAAAAUCAAAAAGAAAAAGAGAAGAUAAUUGGGAAAACUAUGAAAAUGAAACAGUGAAUCGUAGAGGAUAUACUAGAGCUAACGGAAAAUGGACAAAGAUUUCGGAUGAAUUUAAACCCCAUUAUGAAGAAGGAAAAUCUAAAAAAUUACUAAACCUUGAUUGCGUAAGAAAUCCAGAAGAAAUAUUAGAAAGAUGGUCUAAUAAUAUGAUUAUGCUUCUAGAAACCGAUGACAAAUUUAGUAAAGUAAAUCUAAUGGAUGUUAAGAAUUUAUUAGCUUAUAGAACAACAUGGAAUGUGCUAAAAAAAUUAACGAGUAUUGAGGAUGAAACUUGGCAACAAUAUGCUAGAAUGACUGAAAAUAAUCAACAAUUUGCUAAAUUAAUAAUAGAAUUAAUAUAUAAGGAAUUUAUAUGGUUUAAUAUCCUUGAACAUAAAGCAAAAGUAAAUAAACAAUUAAGAGAAAGAGCAAAAGCUCAUUUAAAUAAUAUGCAAAUAUGCAAUAUGUGCGAAAUAGAUAGCUUUAUUUGUGAAUUUAAAAAAUAUUAUUAUGAAUUAGAUAGGAAAACUCAAUUAAUAUAUACAAAUAUAUUUAUAUCUAAAUUAUCUUAUCCACUUAGUACAAGUAUAAGAGAAAAAUGGAAAUCUCAACCAGAAGAAUUAGGUGAUACCUUAGCAGGAGUAAUACAAAUUUUAUAUGAAGAAAUAAGAAAUCAGUGUCUAGAAAGGGAAAAAAUUAAAAACUUAAAUCUAGGAAGUACUUCACUUUGUUGUAAUAAAUUAGAAUUAGACCUACCAGGAAAUUAUGGUUGUAGUAAAGAAGUAGGAAAAAUCCUAGGAGAAAACCAAGGUUAAGAAAAACCUAUCCAAAGAAAAGAGCCUAUAAAAAUACUAAGAAAAAGUAUUUUAGGAAAAAGAGACAAACACCUAGAAAAUAUUGCCCAAAAGGAAAAAAGAAAUGUGUAUGCUGCUGGAUAUGUAAUGUAGAGGGACAUUAUGCUAAUGAAUGUCCAAAGAAGAAAGAAAAAGAUACUAAAGAAACUAAAGAAAAAUCAAAACUAAUAAAGAAAGUAUAUCAAAUAUAUAAUUUAGAGCCCUUAGAAGAUGAACUAAGUGAUAGUGAUUGUAGUGUAUAUGAAUAUUUAGAAGAUAACCUAUCUUCAAAGGAAAUAGAGUAUGAAUUAUCUUCAGAAGAAACAGAAUUUGAAUAGUACUUAUAUUAUAAUAAAAAUUGAAAAAGAAGAUAUAGAAACUGAAGUUUAUAUAGAUACAGGGGCAAGUAUUUGUAUAGCAACAUUAUUUAGUAAAUGGGAAAAAUUAGAAAAACCAUUAAAAAUUCAGAUAGCUGAUGGAUCUAUACAUCCAUUAAAUUGGGUAGCUACUAGAAUUACCUUAAAUAUUCAAAAUAAAUUAUUUAUGGCACCUACGGUAUAUCAACAAAAAACAGGGUUAGAUAUGAUAGUAGGAAAUAAUUUUCUAAGAUUAUAUGCACCUUUUUCCUAAUACUUAGACUAUAUUUCAAUUAAGGCUCCAUAUAUUAGAGGAAAACAAUUAAAAGAAAUGAUAGAUAUCCCUAUAAUUCAUUCUACAGAGACAACUUAUUCAAUAAAGCAAUCAGAGUUACACAAGAUAAAACGUGGUGAAAUUAUAGGAUUAAUUUGUAGAAAAAUGUGUCAUGUAUUAGUAAAUUUAGAACAAGGAAGAAGAAUACCCGCACAUAUAGAGGAAUUACUAGAGAAAGUUUGUAGUGAAGACCCACUAGAUCCAUAAAUUAAUAAAAAUAUGGAAUUAGUUGAACUAAGAUUAAAAGAUCCCUCAAAAGAAAUUAAGUGUAAACCAAUGAUAUACACAAAACAGGAUAGAGAUGAAUUUGCUGAAGAUAUUAAGCAAAUAUGUGAAAAGGGACUAAUAAAACCAUCACAAAGUAAACAUUAUGCGCCUGGAUUUUAUGUUGAAAACCAUAAUGAAAUAAAAAGAUGAAAGACAAGGAUGGUAAUUAAUUAUAAACAAAUAAAUGAUGCAAUGGAAGGAGAUGCAUAUUUUCUUCCAAGAAAGGAUUAAUUAUUGAAAGAGUUAGGAAUAUGAAUUGGUUUAGCACCUUUGAUUGUAAAUCUGGAUUUUAUCAAAUAAGACUAACUGAAGAAUCUAAAGCUCUAACAACCUUUAGUUGUCCCUUAGUUGUCCCCAAGGUCAGUAUGAAUGGAUGUACUUCCAAUGGGAAUGAAACAAUCACAAGGUAUUUUUCAACGAAGAAUGGAUACAAUACUUGAAGAAUUUAAGGAUUUUUAUCUAAUUUAUAUUGAUGAUAUAUUAGUUUUUUCAAAUAAAGAUUUAGAUGAUCAUUUUAAAAAGGUAGAAUUAGUACUAAAUAAAUGUGUUGAGCAUGGAGUAGUAUUAAGCAAAAAAAAUGCCAUUUUAGCUCAGAAAAAAAUUAAUUAUUUGGGACUAGAAAUAGAAAAAGGAAAAUUUUUAAUGCAAAAGCAUGUGUUGGAAAAACUUCAAAAUUUUCCAACUAAACUAAAAGAUAAAAAGGAAUUACAAAGGUUUUUAGGAUUACUAACAUACAUUUCAAAUGAAGGUUUUAUAAAAAAUCUUGCAGCUGAAAGAAAGUUACUUAAGCAAAAACUUAAGAAGGAUUAAAUUUGGUCGUGGACCGAAGAUGAUGAAGUACUUAUUACUAAAUAAAAGAAUUUAUGUCAGGACCUUCCUGAAUUAUAUCAUCCAUCUGAUGAUGAUUUAAUUAUUAUUGAGACUGAUGCCUCUAACGAAUAUUGGGGAGGGGUUAUGAAAGCAAAACCUCCUGGACAAAAGAAAGAAUUAUUAUGCAGAUACAUGUAUGGAACUUUUUCAGACAGUGAAAUUAAUUAUCCUACUCACAAAAAAGAAACAUUAGCACUAAUUCGAAUGUUUGAAAAACAUCGAAUAUAUGUGCUUGACAAAGAAUUUAUUGUAAGAACCGAUUCUACUUAUGUUGCAGGAUUCAAGAACCUAAAUCAUAAAGGAACUUAUAAACAAGGAAGACUUAUUCGAUGGAAUAUGAAAUUAGCCGAAUAUAAUUACUCAAUUUCUCACAUCAAAGGAGAAAAGAACGUACUCACAGACAUUCUAUCAAGAGAAUGGAACGAAGCGAAGAAUUGUUAAUCCAACAACUUGGAAUUAAAGAAGCACUAAAAGCUCACAAAUUAAAAGAACAAGAAUUAAUUGGAAAGGAAGUAGAGUUAAUUGAAAAAGAGAUAGAACUAAUAAGAUCACAAAUCAAAAGAAAGAGUCCAAUUGAUGAAAUUAUUGUAAGAGAACCAAAGAAAUGGUAUGUGGUCUCCAAUGGACCAUUUACAGAAAUCUAUGAUGACUGGUACAAGGCAGCCCCACAUUGUCAAAAGAUCUCUGGAGUCACUCACCGAGCCUAUGCAACAAAAGAAGAAGCGGAGAAAGCUUUGAAGGAUCAUAAAGAAUUAGACAAAUUAAGAAAUGAAAUUUAUUUGGGUCCAAGAACUUUUUCCGAGACAACAAGAAGUAAGGCACCAGAAAGAGCUCCGAUGAAAAUCUUAGGAAGAAUUCCUUUUUCCUUAGAUGAUCUUCCUAUUAUUUCCAGAAAAGAACAUGAACUUCAAGUACAAUUUUCAGAAGAAAAAUUUCAAGAAAAAUGUUUUUAUAUGGUAAGCAGAAAUGGUUUUGGGCUUGAAGCGGUAAUCACUCCUGGAGCUUCACCAAUAUUAGCAUUCAACAUGUUCCAAUUUGGACUUGUUCAAUGUAUUUAUCUAAGUGCAAAUUUUGAUGAAAUUAGCCUGUUCCUGGUUACUCUCAAAGAUGUAGUCCAAUCAUACAAAAGAAAUAUUGCAAGAGAAAGAUCUAUCUAUCUCAAGUUUUACUCAGCAUAUCCCGAUUUCUCUACUAAUCAACCAGCUAUGCAUUUUGUUCAAAUUGAAAUCAACAAUCAUCAAUAUCCAUUAAUGGACGAAGCAAGGGAAGAAGUAUUAAGUGAAGAAAAAAUUGAUAUGAUUAUUGCUAAUCAAUUAGCAAGUAUAUUUUCCCAAUGCCAAUCAAUCACUAAAAAUUCUCAUAUUAAAGUACUUAGUAAAACAAAGAAUAUGUUAAUCUCAAGCAAAAUGUAACGCCCUAUUUUAUUAUUUAUUUAUUUUAUUGAGUUUAGAUGUCUUUUUAUAAUUUAGUCGAUUUAUUUUGAUGAGUGAUAUUUUGUUAUGUUAUAUGUUGGUAUUUAUUAGUAUAAUAUUAUGUUAUUUGGUGUGGAAGUAUUAUGUUAUUUGGUGUAGAAAUAUAUAUGUUAUCUGGUGUAGAAAUAUAUUUGUUAUUUGAUGUAGAAAUAUAUAUGUUAUCUGGUGUAGAAAUAUAUUUCUUAUUUGGUGUAGAAAUAUAUAUGUUAUAGAAAUAUAUUUGUUAUAGAGAUAUUUUAUAUUAGGCUAAACUGCAGUUUUGACCCCCUAACUUUCACAAUGGUGCGAUUUUGGCCCCCUAUUAAAAAAAAUGAAAAUUUAAACCCCUAUGUUUUAGCCCCUUUGCAAAAGAGACCUUAUGGUCAAUUUUGACCGGGUCAACGCGGAGGUGUCAUGCCACAUGUGUAUUUUCCCAUUUAUUUUUAUUCAAAAAGCCACUUGUGUAAUACUUGAAUAAAAAAAAAACAAAAAAGAAAAUAUAUCUUCAUCAUCAUCAUUCAAACCACCGCCAUGUCCUCCGCCAAACAUCGCAAUUUCCGUCGCCGCACUGACACAAACUCUGAAAACGACACUCCCACCACCGUCCCUUCCAAACCCUCCGCCCCUAAACCUGAAAUAAAAAACCCAAACUUCUCAGCUUCGCCGACAACGAAAUCAACGCUGAUAACGAAACCCCUUGUUCACGCUCCUCCAAACCCCACGACCACCGCCCCAAACCCUCUUCUUCAUCCUCUCACAAAAUCACCACUCACAAAAACAGAAUCAUUUGAGGCGAGUUUUGCUUCUGUUGGGAUUAAGCUUGCAAAAGGAUCAAUUGUAGCAUUCAUAGAAGGAGAAACAAGAUCAAAGCUUCCAUUGUUGUUGUUACUGAAGUUGUUGUGGGCAACGACAACAUUUGAUGUUGUAGAUGUUGUGGAGAAACAGGACACGUGCUCCUUUAGAUCAGUGUUGUUGGAGUUACACAUUUGGUCGCCGUUGAAUGUGGCGAUGCUAGCGGCGGUGUAAGGAGAUGAAUCAAGAAGAGGUGGAAGAUAAACGGAAGAAGGUGAACUUGGUUCUGGACAGAGACUCAUGCUGUUGUUGUUGGCUGAGUUUGAGGCUAUUUUGGUCUGUUUUGCACCACUUGUGGUGGCUGUCACGGUGGUGCUUCCAUUUCCAACGUUGCUCUUUUGAAACACACGUGAAAUGACCCAUUCAUCCUUCCUUUUCUAUUUUUUUUAUUUUUCAUUUUAUUUUUUAAUUUAGAAAAUGAUUAUGUGGAUUUUUUUUUAUUUUUUUAAAAUUUGUAAUUACACAUGUGGCAUGACACCUAGGCGUUGACCAGGUCAAAAUUGGCCAAAAGGUCACUUUUGCAAAGGGGCUAAAACAUAAGGGUUUAAAUUUUCAUUUUUUUUAAUAGGGGGUCAAAAUCGCACCAUUGUAAAAGUUAGGGGGUCAAAACUGCAGUUUAGCCUUUAUACUAUAUAUAUAUUAGAAUAGAAUAUUGAGACUAGGAGAACAGAUUUGGAAAUAAGAGAAAAUAAGUAGGUUAAGGAUUUAUAUAAAAGGGGAGAGUUAGAAUUAGAAAAUAAGGAUUACGUGAAACCUGUUUUUGGAGAAAAAGGAUGAAAACCAAGAGAAGAGAGAAGUCAGAGAAGAGAAGAAUCUUGUGAGAAGAGGAGCAAUCUUGUAGAGUGCGAUCAUCUAAUUUAAGGUAAGGGUGGAAAUAGCUUUCUCUAAUAAUGGGUUGUAUAAUUCUGAAAAAGGAUUUAACCUUGUAGUUGUUAUUAGUUUUGAUGAUAGAAAUUAGGGUUAGAUCUCAUUCAUAAUCUUUUGUAUAAUCUCUUUUUCUACUUCUACCCAUAAGUGCCUAUUUGUAUAAAGUGAUUAUUGUGGAUUUAAUUGGUGAAAUUUGUGCUUAUGUUUUGAUGCAAUGUUUGGGUAUGUGAAUUUGAUGUUAAUUAAGUUGUUGAUGAUGAAUUUAUAUGCUCGAGUUAUGUAUAUAAGUAUACUUGUGUUUUUGCUCAAAAUUGGUGAAGUAUGAUGUUGUUUUUUGAUGAUUUUCUAAAAUAAUGUUUUGAGUGCUUUAUCAUGUAUAGAAAUGGUUAGACAAGUUUUGGAAUCAAAUUUGGGCAUUGGGAAGUCAAAAUUGGGAUUUUGGGGUGAAAAAUGGGUUUUUCCCGAGUUGCUCUCUGACAACACGUCCGGUUUCAUGUUCUUGCGUCUUUUUCACACGUUUCUGUUUUGAAUUGGUCUUUGGUGUAAACAUUAAAGUUGUAGACAAUUGUGUUAGCAUUCCAGUGGCUUUGGUUUGACUUGAAAAUAAGUUUUGGUUUUUGAGGUAUGAUGAAAAUACUCCAAGGAGAUCUUAGUGAAAUUUUAUGAAAAUUCCGCAUAACUAUUUCUAGGUCAACCCAAAACUUAUGGAUUGUAUCCAAACUUCAAAGCUUGUGUAAUAUGAGUUCAAUUAAGUUGUUUAAGAGUAUUUAACCUAUGUUAUGAUGUUAUAUGAUGUUCAUGAUUGAUGAAUUAUUAUAUGAAUGUAUAUGUUGAUGAAUAUGAUGUUAUAUGAUGUUGUUCAUGAUUGAUGAAUUAUUAUAUGAAUGUAUAUGUUGAUGAAUAUGAUGUUAUAUUAAGUUGAAUUCUUAUAUGAAUGUACCUGUUGAUAACUAUGAUGUUAUAUGAUGUUAUUAAGAUGAUUAAUGUUGUUAGUGAUGUGAUAUAGUUAUUUAUGCAUUAUGUGGAAUAUGUAUGAUGUUGGAGUUGUUAUUGUUUAUUCAUUAACGUUGUUAUGUUGUGAGCUGUUUAUGUGCUGCCUCUGUUGUUGUUGAAUAUUAAUUAAGUUGCAAGUGUUGGUCUAAGUUACAAAGUUGUAAGAUGUUGUUCCAAAGUAUUGAAGUCAUAUAAGUUGUUGAUGUUGUCCAAAUUGUAAGUUGUUGAGUCCAUGCAUACUCAUUUGAAGUUGAGGGCUUGAUGCUCUGUGAGCUUUUGCUCUUACGUUGAGGGCUUGAUGCUCUGUGAGCUUUUGCUCUUAUGUUGAGGGCUUGAUGUCCUGUGAGUGUAUUUAUGCUCUUUAUGUUGAGGGCUUGAUGCCCUGGUUGGUACCACAUGCAUGAUUAAGAGGUUGAAGUUGCAUUUGUCGAGUUUAAGUUGUUGAAGUCACAUUGUCGUUGUCGUUAAGUUGUCAUUUAUCAAUGAGUUGUUAAUGAAGAACUAUGUGAAGUAUUAAUAUUUAUUAAUCGUUGUUGUUUAUGUUGUUAUAUGAUGAUGUUUAUGAUGUGAAGUAUAUGAUGUUAUAAGAUGAUGUUUAUGUUAUAUUAUGAUGAUGUUUAUGAUGUGAUGAUUAUGUUGUUACAUGAUGAUGUUAUGAUGUGAUGAUUAUGUUGUUAUAUGAUGAAUGUAUAUGAGAUGAUGAAUAAGAUAUUAAUGAUGACUAGAGGUUGAUUAAUGAUUUAUAGUUAGAACUAUAUGAAGAAUUAAAAUUAUUAAUUGAUGUUGUCAAUGUUGUUAAAUUCAUUUGAUGAAUUAUAUGCUUACUAUUAUUGAAUGUGAAAUAUCACCCCUUCUGCUUGGAAAUGUUGCCCUUCGCAUGGGUAACUUGCAGGAAAUCAAGAAUAGUUGUUGAAGUGAGAUGACUCUCUCACGUGUCGUCGUCUUAGGGUCGCUCUGAUACGUAACGGGAUGGGGAUUUGCUUGUUUUCCAUGUCUUACGUAUUUGUCAUGAUUUUAUGUUGAAGUUUUGUUUAAACUGGAUUUUAAUUAAGUUGUUUAAGUUAAGGCCGUUGUGCCAACAUGAUGUUGAACUUAGUUGUUUUCUGCUGCAAUGAGAUUUAAUUUGAUGACAUAUGAUGAUUGAAAUAAAUAGUAAUUUUACUAUAUUCAUAUUUGAAAGAAGUGUAGCAUCCUGUUUAGUUGUUUUACUCUGAUUUAUGCAAAAAAUUUCAAAUUGGGAAAACGGGGUGUUACACAAAACAAGUGGCAAAGUAAUCCAUGAGAAAGACAUGCAAUUACUAACAAGCUUUGAAGUACCAUUUUACUCACUAAACAAGGAGUUAAUAAACUAUAAGCCAAGAAUCUUAAGAGAAUUAUGCUUAAGCAUAAAAGGAAGCAUUAAUCAUGCUUGUGAGUUGUGCAUGCAUGAGGAAAGGACUGAAGCAAGUGCCAAGUGCACGGACAUGUGUCUAGAAGAAGAAGAGAAAAAGUCAUGCUGAAAAUGUAGUUGCCUUCAUGCAUGGAGACAAGUAAUAAGUAGUGUCAUAAAAUUAUGUAAGGGUGAAUAGUGCUAUGAUGAAUAGUGCUAUGAAUAAUGUUAUGUAUGAAUAGUAGUAGGGCCUUUUGGCUUAUAAGUAAGGGCUUGUAACGAUAGUAGUGUAGUAGAAAGCUCUAUGUUUGUAAAGUUUCUCUAAGAAACUUAACUAAGUCCUUUAGGAUUUAGUUAUUGGCACUUUAGUGCUUUUCUUGUAAUCAAUUUUCAUCAAUAAAAUUCAUCCUUCACUUACUUAAUUCUAUUCAAUCCACUUAUUACUAUCCAUUAUCUACUUAUUACUACAAAUAUAUAGACCACUAAUCCUACUUAAGGCUACCUAAAGCUACGGAAGCAGCGGUGGACCAAUCACUAAUUCAUGAAAAUCAUGAGCAGAUAUAUCUACUUAACUUUGUUUAACUUAAUUUAAGCUUUUAUUAUAUAAUGUUAGCACUUAUGUUUUAUGUAUUAUUAUCUAAUAUUAAGUUUAAGUAUUUUUAUUUUAAGAACUAGUUAAUAUAAUUCUCUAUUAAUUGUGGGUGAUAUAGAACAUUUAAAUAUAACUGAAGAAGACAGAAAUUAUGAAGGAAGUAUUUUAAUUGAUCCUACUUUGUUUCAAAAAAUACAAAAAGAAGAUCUAGACCUAACUAAAGAUGCUAAUAUGAAAGGAAAAGAAAAAAUUGGAGGAAUAAUGAAAAGAUUUAAUCAAAAAGAAAACAUUAUAUACUAUGGAAAAUUAAUUAAUGAGUCUCCUACAGAUAUUGCGGAUGCUCAAGGACACACCUAUAUUAAGUUGUUAGAGAAGAAGAAACUUAUGGAAUUAAAAAGAAACAUAAAGAAAUAAGAACAUAGAAAUAGAAUAGGAUAUAUUCAUAUAGGAGCUAUACAAGUAUUAAUUAAAGCUACUUUUCAAGAAGGAAUUAAUUCUCCGUUAGAACUAAUAUUAAAGGAAGAUAGAAUUACAAAUUCAGUUGAUAAAGUAUUAGGAGUUGUCGAAGGAAAUCUAGCAUAUGUCAAAUUAAAAUAUGAAAUACAUCCUAAUAUAGGAAUACCAUUAGAUAGUCAAAGGCUAGAUCAAGCACUUACUCUUGAACAUAUAUUUUUAAGAGGAAACUUAAUGAGAUCAGGAGAAAAAAUAUUUUCUAUCACUUAUUGUGUUAAUUAUGCAUUAACGAAUUCUCAUCAUAGUAUUACUUUCAGAAAUAAUAAUAGAAUAGAUGUCCCUAGUCUAUUUGAAGACAUUGGAAAAAUUUACUAUCCAAAAAGAAAUGAAAUAAUAGAAUUAGGAACUUUUAUAAAUAGAUCAAAGAUUUUAGAAUUAAAAGGAACAAUGAUACCUAGACCAAUUAGAUUUCACGAACCAGAAAAAGUUGAAGAAAAUAACAUUGAUAAGUUAUCUAAUCAAGUAAAAGAAUUAACCACAUAUUUAAAAAAUAGGAUAUGAAUAAUUUAGAAUAAGCUAGACUAUCAAUAAUAAAGAAUUUAGUAUAAAAUAAAUAUGGCAGAAUUUAGUAUUAAUGAGAAAGAAAAAAUAAUAAAUAUAAGAUUAAAAGAUUGGGAUAUAGCUUACGAAGAUAGUAUUGAAAAUAAAGAAAAAUAUUUUUAUGAAAAAUUAAAAUGUAUAUGGAAACUGAAUUUACCGAAAGAUAUAAGGUCAAAAAUUAGUGAAGAAUAUGGUAAAUUAUGCGGACAAGCAAUACUUUACGAAAGUGAGAUAGAUUAUGCAUUAGGAAAUAUGAUGGAUGAUAUUUUAAUGGACGAAUAUGAUGAGUGACUUGAAGCCGUCGGAAGCAAAUUAUGAAUAUUGUUGGUGGAAAUGGUGAGAAGACUAAAAGAUGAAGAAAUUGAAUGGAUAGACAGGGACGCCACACUUUCUAAUCUAAGAAAGUGAUAAGUCUAUGGAUGCGAGGAUCGCCACAAGAAAUAUGAUUUCUUGAUAAGAUCAAGGUUGGUUCAAUCCAGAACCACAAGAGACAAGGCUCUCAAUACACAUAUGUGUAAAAUUCUAUAAAAUUCAACUCCCUUUAUUUCAUAGAGAAACUUACAAUUUAUAGAGUUCUCCCAAAGUAACCCAAUGGACCCUAAUAAAUUAAAAUGACACUUAAUAACAAAUAAAUGACAUAUAAAGAAUAACAACUAUUUUCCUAAUAAUAUGAAAUAACUACGUAACAUGCUGGAGUCCAAAAGGUGUGAACUACUUGCCCAAAAUACGACUUGGUCUAAACUGAUGAUUGGCCAAUCAAAUCCAAUAAUUGUAGUGCCAUGCAUGGAAAUCUUGAAUUGGAUUAUUGGGCUGUUUCAGCAACGUAAAUUUUGCAAUGAAGUGCUACAUCAAUUAUGUAACCGAUUGAAUAAACAAUAACCUUAUAUACCUUUGUGAUUGUGAGCUUAGAACAUGAAUCAGCACCUUGGGAUAAUUACAUCUCCAUGAAAUAAUCACUUACUCACAACUUGCUGCCAAUUAUUAUUUUUUUUUUUAUUAUUUUUUUUUUGGUCAAGCAGCCUAGUGGCUAGAGAAAUUCACCUUAAAGAUGAAUAAGUGGGGUGUCCGGGGUUCGAACCCUGGCCCCUGCACAUAUUGUGCAUUAUCCCUUACAAAAUGAGCUAAACUCAUGGGGAUUGCUGCCAAUUAUUUUAUUAGAACCAUAACUGUGCUAAUAAUUGACCAUUUGGAUUAAUAGCCAAAUUAUUUUACUAGGAAAAUAGCAUGCUUGUUUGGAAUUAAAAAAGGAAUAAAAUAUUCAUUUUUUUAUAUGUUUCCUUCCACAUGCUUAAUGAUCUCUUGAUCUCAUCAUUCUCCCCCUCUUCAAGAGGAUUUGACCUCAAAUCCAAACCUGCAUAAAAUUGAAUUGAGCUAUGUAGAAAUUUUUCUUCUUGUGAUUUUGAGACAUAAUCAUUUUUCCAAAGAACAUGACUGUUUUCUACUUGUUGAGAAAAAACUUCUCCAUUUUCUUGCUUUCCCUCGUGAGUUAAAGAAGAAAGGUUAGGAGAUUGCAAAAUAUUAGAAGAAUCCCAACAUUUAACUACACAUACCAACUUUGAUGAAGGUAUUAAUGUAAUAGUAGGCCAAAACAUCCCAACAUUUUUCUCUUCAUUUACCUUCUCACUCACCUUUUUCUCUUCUUUUUCCUUCUUGAAGUAUUUCUCAUGACAUUCUUUUACAAUGAGAUCCUCUAUUUUUUCAAGAUCUCUUUCACGCUUUUUAUAAUCAUUUUGAAUUUGAAGGAGCUCUUCCUCAAAUGUUUUAAAAAUAGCAGCAAUCCCUCUUUCAAUCCUUAGAGCGCUUUCUUCUCUUUUCACUCUUCUUUUUAAGAUUUGAUCAUGACCGACCUUAUCAUAUGCAAUAAUGAUUUGACAAUUUUUAAAUGAAAAUGUGUAUGUGUUGGUGUGUUGGUCAUGCUUUGCUCGACGUUGUUGCUGUCAUGGAAGCCCAAGUAACAAAUCUCUUGUUUUGUAAGGCACCACAUCACAUAGUACCUCAUCUUCAUAUUCUCCAAUUGUGAAUGAUACUCUCACUUGUUUGGUCACCAAAACAUCAGCCAUGUCUUUAAAUUCUGGAUCCUCAAGACUAAAAAGAAUAUAUGGAUCUGGAUGCUCAAGAACCGGAAGUCUCCAUUUCUCCACCAUUGAUGUGCUUGCCAUGUUGAUCCAAUAUUUUAUAUCAAUGAACAACUCACAAACUUUAUCGUUCACGAGACAUCUUGAAAAGAAAAGAUUCAUUUGUUUGGCCUCCAUGAAGGACCACUAAGAAAACAAAAUAUUGAAACUUUUGAUUUUUAUUUUUUUUUGGAAUUUUUUUCACGUUCUUUUGUGUUGAAAUGCUAUCUCUCUCGUUUUUUUCUUCAAUUUUUUCUUGUUACAAUUUUUUUUUGCAAACAGAAUAUAAAAUAAAUAUAAAAAGAUAGAUAACACCUGAUUUGAACCAAAGCUCUAAUUACCAAAUGAUGAGUGAGAAGGUAAAUAAAGAGAAAAAUGUUGGGAUGUUUUGGCCUACUAUUACAUUAGUACCUUCAUCAAAGUUGGUAUGUGUAGUUAAAUGUUGGGAUUCUUCUAAUAUUUUGCAAUCUCCUAACCUUUCUUCUUUAACUCACGAGGGAAACCAAGAAAAUGGAGAAGUUUUUUCUCAACAAGUAGAAAACAGUCAUGUUCUUUGGAAAAAUGAUUAUGUCUCAAAAUCACAAGAAGAAAAAUUUCUACAUAGCUCAGUUCAAUUUUAUGCAGGUUUGGAUUUGAGGUCAAAUCCUCUUGAAGACGGGGAGAAUGAUGAGAUCAAGAGCUUAUUAAGCAUGUGGAAGGAAACAUAUAAAAAAAUGAAUAUUUUAUUCAUUUUUUAAUUCCAAACAAGCAUGCUAUUUUCCUAGUAAAAUAAUUUGGCUAUUAAUCCAAAUGGUCAAUUAUUAGCACAGUUAAUGAUGAGUGCCACGGAGCCGUCGGAAGCAAAUUAUGAAUAAUGUUGGUGGAAAUGGUGAGAAGACUAAAAAAAUGAAGAAAUGGAAUUGAUAGACAGGGACGCCACACUUUCUAAUCCAAGAAAGUGAUAAGUCUAUGGAUGCGAGGAUCGCCACAAGAAAUAUGAUUUCUUGAUAAGAUCAAGGUUGGUUCAAUCCAGAACCACAAGAGACAAGGCUCUCAAUACACGAUUUCUUGAUAAGAUCAAGGUUGGUUCAAUCCAGAACCACAAGAGACAAGGCUCUCAAUACACAUAUGUGUAAAAUUCUAUAAAAUUCAACUUUUUCUAUUUCAUAAUGAAACUUACAAUUUAUAGAGCUCUUGCUCUAAUGAACUCAAAGGACACUAAUAAAUUAAAAUACACCUAAUAUUAUUCUAAAGAAAAGAAAUAAAUGACAUACUAGCCUUACAAUUAUUCUAAAAAUAAAACACUAAAAUUAUUCUUUGAAAAUUAGCGUGAGUUGCAUAUUAUUUUCAUUUCCAAUUGAUGAAAGCUGCUCAAAAUGCUGGAACCGUUACAGGCUGCCUCCUUUAAAUCAAAUGACUAUCAAGCGGCAUCCUUUAAAAUCUAAAACCGUUGCUGCUCAUAGAACUAUUCUGAAUGGAAUGAAAUUGACAUUUAGUAGUGAGUGGCACUUAAAUGACCAAUGAUUAAUAUGUAACGCAUGUGCUGCCCUAAAGGUAUUAAGUGCUCAAAUGAUUCCUCCAAUCCCUUCAGUUACGCAUGUGAGCUUUUCACCUUGUUUCAAACUGAUAUGCAACACUUCAUAGUAAAAAUAAGCCAUUUCACUAACAGCCAAAUUAUUAUAUUAGCAAAAUAACAUACUGACUUGAAAUUAAAAUGAAUAAAAUAUUCAUUUUUCAUGCAUUUUUUAUAGGUUUCCUUCCACAUGCUUAGUGAACUUUUGAUCUCAUCAUUCUCCCCCUCUUCAAAAGGAUUUGACCUCAAAUCUAAACCUGCAUAAAAUUGAAGUGAGUGAUGUAGAAUUUUUUUCCCAUGUGAAUUAGGGAAAUAAUCAUAUUUCCAAAGAACAUGAUUGUUUUUUACUAGUUGAGAAAAAAUUUCUUCAUUUGCUUGGUUUCUUUCAUGAGUUGAAGAAGAAAGGUUAGGAGAUUGCAAAAUAUUAGAAGAACCCCAACAUUUAACUACACAUACCAACUUUGAUGAAGGUACUAGUGUAAUAGUAGGCCAAAACUUCCCAACAUUUUUCUCUUCAUUUACCUUCUCACUCACCUUUUUCUCUUCUUUUUCCUUCUUGAAGUCUUUCUCAUGACUUUCUUUUACAAUGAGAUCCUCUAUUUUUUCAACAUCUCUUUCACGCUUUUUAUAAUCAUUUGGAAUUUGAAGGAGCUCUUCCUCAAAUGUUUUAAAAAUAGCAGCAAUCCCUCUUUCAAUCCUUAGAGCGCUUUCUUCUCUUCUCGCUCUUCUUUUCAAGAUUUGAUCAUGACCGACGUUAUCAUGUGCAAUAAUAAUUUGACAAUUUUUAAAUGAAAAUGUGUAUAUGUUGGUCAUGCUUUGCUCGACGUUGUUGCUGCCAUGGAAGCCCAAGUAACAAAUCUCUUGUUUUGGAAGGCACCACAUCACAUAGUACCUCAUCUUCAUAUUCUCCAAUUGUGACUGAUACUCUCACUUGUUUGGUCACCAAAACGUCAGCCAUGUCUUUAAAUUCUGGAUCCUCAAGACUAUAAAGAAUAUAUGGAUCUGGAUGCUCAAGAACCGGAAGUCUCCAUUUCUCCACCAUUGAUGUGCUUGCCAUGUUGAUCCAAUAUUUUCUAUCAAUGAACAACUCACAAACUUUAUCAUUCACGAGACAUUUUGUAAAGAAAAACAUUUUCCUUUGCUUGAGUUCCAUGAAAUACCUUUAAGAAAAAAUAAAAUUUGAAACUUUUGAUUUUUUUCUCUCUUUUUUUUUUUCUCUCAAUUUUUUUUCGUUUUUUUCACCUUUUUUUUUUGGAUAUUUUUUUUCAAACUUUGAUGUAGAACAACAAAAAUAAAAUAAAUUAAAAGGAUAGAAAACACCUGAUUUGAACCAGGCUCUGAUACCAAAUGAUGAGUGACUUGAAGCCGUCGGAAGCAAAUUAUGAAUAUUGUUGGUGGAAAUGGUGAGAAGACUAAAAGAUGAAGAAAUGGAAUGGAUAGACAGGGACGCCACACUUUCUAAUCCAAGAAAGUGAUAAGUCUAUGGAUGCGAGGAUCGCCACAAGAAAUAUGAUUUCUUGAUAAGAUCAAGGUUGGUUCAAUCCAGAACCACAAGAGACAAGACUCUCAAUACACAUAUGUGUAAAAUUCUAUAAAAUUCAACUCCCUUUAUUUCAUAGAGAAACUUACAAUUUAUAGAGUUCUCCCAAAGUAACCCAAUGGACCCUAAUAAAUUAAAAUGACACUUAAUAACAAAUAAAUGACAUAUAAAAAAUAACAACUAUUUUCCUAAUAAUAUGAAAUAACUACGUAACAUGCUGGAGUCCAAAAGGUGUGAACUACUUGCCCAAAAUACGACUUGGUCUAAACUGAUGAUUGGCCAAUCAAAUCCAAUAAUUGUAGUGCCAUGCAUGGAAAUCUUGAAUUGGAUUAUUGGGCUGUUUCAGCAACGUAAAUUUUGCAAUGAAGUGCUACAUCAAUUCUGUAACCGAUUGAAUAAACAAUAACCUUAUAUACCUUUGUGAUUGUGAGCUUAGAACAUGAAUCAGCACCUUGGGAUAAUUACAUCUCCAUGAAAUAAUCACUUACUCACAACUUGCUGCCAAUUAUUUUAUUAGAACCAUAACUGUGCUAAUAAUUGACCAUUUGGAUUAAUAGCCAAAUUAUUUUACUAGGAAAAUAGCAUGCUUGUUUGGAAUUAAAAAAUGAAUAAAAUAUUCAUUUUUUUAUAUGUUUCCUUCCACAUGCUUAAUGAGCUCUUGAUCUCAUCAGAAUAUAUAGUUUCUACCUAUUAUGAAGGAAAUCCAAUAGAUUUUGCCUUAGUAGAAAACAAUGAAUCCAAUAUAAUGGAUGAUCAUUUUUUAUAAAACCUUCAUUUGAAAUGUAUGUUAGUAAUCCUAAAACCCUUUAUAAUUCCUUUUUAUCUUUUAGUUGAGUUGGAAAAUUUUGAAGUUUUUCCAACACAUGCUUUUGCAUUAAAAUUUUUCCUUUUUCUAUUUCUAGUCCUAAAUAAUUAAUUUUAUUCUGAGCUACAACGGCUUUUUUCUUGCUUAAUACUACUCCAUGCUCAACACAUUUAUUUAGUACUAAUUCUACCUUUUUAAAAUAAUCAUCUAAAUCUUUAUUUGAAAAAACUAAUAUAUCAUCAAUAUAAAUUAGACAAAAAUCCUUAAAUUCUUUAAGUAUUGUAUCCAUUCUUCGUUGAAAAAUACCUUGUGAUUGUUUCAUUCACAUUGGAAGUACAUUCCAUUCAUACUGACCUUGGGGACAACUAAGGGACAACUAAAGGUUGUUAGAGCUUUAGAUUCUUCAGUUAGUCUUAUUUGAUAAAUUAUCCAGAUUUACAAUCAAAGGUGCUAAACCAAUUCAUAUUCCUUACUCUUUCAAUAAUUUAAUCCUUUCUUGGAAGAAAAUAUGCAUCUCCUUCCAUUGCAUCAUUUAUUUGUUUAUAAUUAAUUACCAUCCUUCUCUUUCCUCUUUUUAUUUCAUUAUGGUUUUCAACAUAAAAUGCAGGCGCAAAAUGUUUACUUUUUGAUGGUUUUAUUAGUCCCUUUUCACACAUUUGCUUAAUAUCUUCAGCAAAUUCAUCUCUAUCCUGUUUUGUGUAUAUCAUUGGUUUACACUUAAUUUCUUUUGAGAGAUCUUUUAAUCUUAGUUCAACUAAUUCCAUAUUUUUAUUAAUUUAUGGAUCUAGUGGGUCUUCACUACAAACUUUCUCUAGUAAUUCCUCUAUAUGUGCGAGUAUUCUUCUUCCUGGUUCUAAAUUUACUAAUACAUGGCGCAUUUUUCUACAAAUUAAUCCUAUAAUUUCACCACGUUUUAUCUUGUGUAACUCUGAUUGCUUUUUUGAAUAAGUUGUCUCUGUAGAAUGAAUUAUAGGGAUAUCAAUCAUUUCUUUUAAUUGUUUUCCUCUAAUAUAUGGAGCCUUAAUUGAAAUAUACUCUAAGUAUUGGCAAAAAGGUGCAUAUAAUCUUAGAAAAUUAUUUCCUAUUAUCAUAUCUAACCAUGUUUUUUGUUGAUAUACGGUAGAUGCCAUAAAUAAUUUAUUUUGAAUAUUUAAGGUAAUUCUAGUAGCUAUCCAAUUUAAUGGAUGUAUAGAUCCAUCAGCUAUUUGAAUUUUUAAUGGUUUUUCUAAUUUUUCCCAUUUACUAAAUAAUGCUUUUGUUGCUAUACAAAUAUUUGCCCCUGUAUCUAUAUAAGCUUCAGUUUCUUUAUCUUCUUUUUCAAUUUUUAUUUUAAUAUAAGUACUAUUCAAAUUCUGUUUCUUCUGAAGAUAAUUCAUAUUCUAUUUCCUUUGAAGAUAGGUUAUCUUCUAAAUAUUCAUAUACACUAUGUUAUACCCUGAUUUUGGACCUAAAAAUACUCAUUCAAAUUUAUUUUCUACUACUGAUAAUUGUCAAUUUACUGUUGUUUUACUCUGAACCUUUACUUUGUUUCAUCUGCACCUUUUACUGUCUAUGUCUCAAAGUAUUUUCAAUUGUGAUUUUGUCUGUGAUUUUCUUGCAUAAAACCAUCCAAAGUGUCCUUUUUUGUGUUACAAGUCAUUAAAAAAGUCUCUCUGAAUCAUUGCUUUGUUUUCUUGCACUUUAAUUCAAAUAUUUGCAAAAAUCAUACAAGAAGGGUAUUUUGGUCAUUUCCUGCAGUGGAACCCAUUUUAGUCCAUGUGAUUGUCUCUGAGUCUUUUCAACUUGUUUUAUAAAUCAUUGUUGAGUUUUUGUUAAAAAAAAUCAUUUCAAAAAUUGCAUAUGAGUCAGUUUGAGUCAGUUUAGUCCCUAGGGGCAUUUUGGUCUUUUCCCAUCAAAAUUUCGACAGAGAGGUAUUUUAAAAUACCUCAUUUUUGUAAUUGGUUCAUUUUAGUCCUUUUGUUGAUUUUAUUUUAGAUUUCACUUUACGUUUUGUCCAAUUUACCAAUUUCUAGUCCAAUUUUACUUUUAUUGCAUUUUGGUCCCUGAGACAGUUUCUAAAAUUGCAUUUUGGUCCCAUUUUUUUUUAAAAUUGCAUUUUUUUGUUUUUUUUUACGAUUGCAGAUUAGUCCUUCAAGUUUAUUAUUUUGCAGAAAGGUCCCAAGUCACAAAUUGUACAAGGCCGAGCCAUUUCAAGUUCAAGUACAGGUGUCACCAUUUCACUGGUCCAAAGGCACACUUGGCAGCUUAUAAAUAGUGCACAGUGUCAGAAGAAAAAAGGAUACCAUUCAUUACAUGCCACAUCACAAACAGAGAAGAAUCUUCUCUCUCUUGUCAAUUAGGAUCAAAAACAGAAAAUUCACCAAGAACACAAGAAUAAGUUCAAACCCUAAAUUUUCCAGAACCAAAUCCAUCAACAAAUUCGUCAAUUCUCAUAGAUUCAUUGAUGAAUCUUCAUCACUGAAUUGACUCCUCUGCAAUUCAAGGCACGAAUUCCUCACCGGAGGCGAGGAACUCCAGCACCGAUCACGGAGUCAGAGGAAGGAGAAGAAGAAGGAAAGAAAUGGAGAAAUUGAACCGGUAAAGAAGAAGAAAUCAAAUCAGUGAAAGAAUCACCGAUUUAUUUUCGGUUCCGAGCACCAAAUCAUCAAACAGAAUGAGAAUCAAGUGUUUCCGAAGAAUCUUGCUCGAAAUCUCCGAUUAAAACCAGAGGUAACAUACUCAAAAUUUCUUUUUCUUCCUUUUCUUUCAAAACACAUCAACACAGACAAAUCAACGUAGAUCUUGGAGUUUCUAAACAUUUUCAUUCAAAAAAGUAAAAAAUCUAAAAUUUUCUUCGAAAAACCGUAAGGCUUUUUCUUGAUCUACGUUGAUUUAAGCCUUGCCUGCAAAUUUCAAUGGUGGAUUCAUACUCAGGAUUAGAAGGCGAGUGGAUUGAAGUAGUUUUGGUCGAAUUCUGGAAUUUUUGAACGUCGGAAUCUGCAGAUCUCGCCGGAGAAGAUGAAGAUUCUGGCGGACCUUUAAGGUUCCGGCCAGAUCUUCAUCCUCUCCGGCCGGCUUUCUCAGAAACCGGCGAGGGAGGGAGAAGAGAGAAGUGAGAGCUUCUCUCACUAGAAAUAGUGAAGAGAGAGAGAGGGAAGUGAAAAAUGAAACUGGACCGGUCCCUCCACAUUUUAUAAGCAACCGAACCGGACCGGUCCAGCUUUGGUUCACCAUCCUUUGAUCUUGACCGUUAGAUCUAGGGUUUGAUCCUCUGGAUCAAUCCUGUGGUUCCUGUGCGGCCAGACCCCUUAGGCUUGGGCUUGGGCCUGUUUCUUUUGGUUUUUUUUCCUGCGUUUUUACUUUUUUUUCAUGCUAUGCACACCCCUGUUUCUUGCUAUGUGGACCUCUUGCUUGCUUUAUUUUUUUCCAUAAAAUUUCUAAAAAUUUUCUAUGUGUUUCUUGAUACAUUUUUGAUAUUUUUGUGAUAUUUUUGCAUGUUAAGAAAUUGAUAAAAUGUGUGUGUUAGUUCUUGAUUUUUUUUCUCUCUUUUUAAGUUGAUUCUUGGGAAUUUUUGCCACAUUUUUGUUCAUAAUAUUUUGAUAUAUGAUAUGAGUGAUUGAUAUGCAAUUUUGUGAUGAAUAUGCCUCUGAUCAUGUGUUUGUUUUACUGUUUUAGAUGUGAUUUUUUAGUUUCUUGUGUUUCAAGUAAUGUGUUUCCUUUUACGUUUCGGCUAUUGUCGUCAUUUUCACCGUUUUAUCUCAUAUUCAAUUGCGUACUUUUUCUUACCAUUUAUGCCUUAUUCUACUAAUCAUUCUAUUUCAUGUUUCAUCUAUUUCAUAAGCACCUUAUCACUUUAUCUUCAUUUUUUGUAGUUUAGGCAUUUUAUCUUUCAAUUUCUAUGUCAAAUGGACAUGUAAUUUUAGGUAGUUUAAUUUCCUUUUAAUUCCUUACAAGACCAUAGCAUGUAAACUAGGGAAAUGUAAAGGACAACGGACUCUUUAUAGUGAUAUACACCGACACAAGCACCGACACGCACACACGUUGUAUGUUUACCGUUUUAGAUGUAUGUUUAGGAGACGCGAUGCUUAGAAAAUGUUCAUUUUUCAAAGCAAAUUAAUUCCAUCACUCAAAUCUUUCCUAAUAAACCUUGGAGUCAAAACUCCAUUGUAUUUUCCUUUAUUUUCUUAAUCAAAUUCAAAUGAAUCUUAAUUUCUACUUAGACAUUUUUUCGUUAAUAAUUGAACCAACAAUUCACUAUCUUUUCCUCUCAUGCCUUUACGGCCUCUUUCUCUUCUUCAAAACCAUUUUCAAAAACUAAAAUCAAUUGAAACACACCAAAAAUACUUUUGGAAGAGAACUACAUGGAAUUUUGAUCCCUUAAAAGGGUAUGUAGGCAAGAGGUCAAAACCUCUCCAAGUUCAAUAAAAUGAAAUCUCAUACACUUUCUUUCCAAAUCCUUAACCUAAAUAAACUCUCUUUUUCAAUAAAUAAGCAUAAAAGUAAAGCGUAGACAUAAAGCUAGGAAAGCGGUUCCUAUAGAAUACUAUAGUCGUUACGGGUGCUUAACACCUUCCCGUAAAGAAAACGACCCCCGAAUUUAGAGUUUCUAAGGGUUUUCUCAAUUUUACCCUUCCUAAGAAAAAAUAGAGAAUAUCAAAGAUUGAAAGGUUCAAGCCUAAUUAAUGACUUGAUACCCCAAAAUCGAGAUAACACACUACAAUCACUAUCACUUAGUUCAUCUUCUAAGGGCUCUAAAUUAUAUAUUUGAUAUACUUUCUUUAUUAGUUUUGAUUUUUCUUUAGUUUCUUUAGUAUCUUUUUCUUUCUUCUUUGGACAUUCUUUAGCAUAAUGUCCCUCUACAUUACAUAUCCAGCAGCAUACACAUUUCUUUUUUCCUUUUGGGCAAUAUUUUCUAGGUGUUUGUCUCUUUUUCCUAAAAUACUUUUUCUUAGUAUUUUUAUAGGCUCUUUUCUUUGGAUAGGUUUUUCUUAACCUUGGUUUUCUCCUAGGAUUUUUCCUACUUCUUUUACUACAACCAUAACUUCCUGGUAGGUCUAAUUCUAAUUUAUUACAACAAAAUGAAGUACUUCCUAGAUUUAAGUUUUUAAUUUUGUCCCUUUCUAGACACUGAUUUCUUAUUUCUUCAUAUAAAAUUUGUAUUACUCCUGCUAAGGUAUCACCUAAUUCUUCUGGUCGAGAUUUCCAUUUUUCUCUUAUACUUGUACUAAGUGGAUAAGGUAAUUUAGAUAUAAAUAUAUUUGUAUAUAUUAAUUGAGUUUUCCUAUCUAAUUCAUAAUAAUAUUUUUUAAAUUCACAAAUAAAGCUAUCUAUUUCGCACACAUUGCAUAUUAUGUAAAUGAGCUUUUGCUCUUUCUGUUAAUUGUUUAUUUACUUUUGCUUUAUGUUCAAGGAUAUUAAACCCUAUAAAAUCCUUAUAUAUUAAUUCUAUUAUUAAUUUGGCAAAUUGUUGAUUAUUUUCAGUCAUUCUAGCAUAUUGUUGCCAAGUUUCAUCCUCAAUACUCGUUAAAUUUUUUAGCACAUUCCCUGUUGUUCUAUAAGCUAUUAAAUUCUUAACAUCCAUUAGAUUUACUUUACUAAAUCUCUCAUCGGUUGCUAGAAGCAUAAUCAUAUUAUUAGACCAUCUUUCUAAUAUUUCUUCUGGAUUUCUUACGCAAUCAAGGUUUAGUAAUUUUUUAGAUUUUCCUUCUUCAUAAUGGGGUUUAAAUUCAUCCGAAAUCUUUGUCCAUUUUCCGUUAGCUCUAGUAUAUCCUCUACGAUUCACUGUUUCAUUUUCAUAGUUUUCCCAAUUAUCUUCUCUUUCUCUUUUUGAUUUUGAAUUACUUGUCUCUCCUCUCUCCAUAAAUAUUUCAUCAAAAUCAGAAUCAGAUCCUAAAUUAGAUCCUAUUUCAGAUUCUGAGCAAACAGAUCAAAUUACACAAACUCACCCUUAUUUUUUAUUUAUUGUUUUCAAUUUCUAAACAAGUAACACAAAUUGCCUAGAAUUAGAAUGACAAUCCUUGUGGGUAAGAUGUCCUACUUACAUUUUACUACUUGGUUAACAAUUUGGUACACUUGCUUAAAUUCGACCAUCAAUACAUAGACGAAGUUGAAAUAUUUAGAUGAAAAUUCAGAAAUCACAAUUCUUUUAUGUUUCAAUUACCUCUGAGAGAGAGUAAAGCCUCACUCUAACAACCUUAUGUAGGCAUGAAAAUCUCGUGAGGAUUGACGACCCUAUAUAUACAUGUAGAGUGCGUAUAAAUUUAUUGUGAUCAACAUGGGUAACUUAACAAAUAGAAGGAUGUAACAAUCCAACGAACUCAUCAUUGAAAUAAAAUCCUUAUCUCAUAACUGCAAUAAGGAAUAGAGCAGAUUCAAAGAAUCCUAAUCACCGUUAAGUUUUGCAAUACAAAACAUUUAAUUUUCUGCAAUCAAAACUCAAUUGUUUUGCGCAAUCAAAUCAAACUUGCAAACUCCCCCAAGUUUUUCGCAAGUUGCCUAUGUUGAAACGAAAAUCUUUGUGGAAACGAUUUUACUUAGUACUUUAUUAUUUGAAAAUGGUUUGAUGCACUUGACAAAUUUAGUUAUCAUAGGUUAGUAUUGAAUCGAGUUGGGUAAACAAUAUUGUGUGUUGUUCCUAUUCUCUACUACUCUUUUAUCUUCUUUUUUCUUCGGUUCCAUUGUGGUUUUUGUUGUUGCUUUUGCUUGCGAUCUAUUUACUUAUCAAUUGUAGUUGACCCUUACUCGACACAUCAAAGUUUAUUUGUGUGUAUUUUAAUUCGAAUUCACAACAAUCAAUACCUUCUCCACAAAAUUGAAUUUACCUUCCAGUACAUAAGAAAAAAAAAGAUAGAUUAAGUUUAGUUUUUCAUUUAAAAAAAAUAAAACAUCUAAUGUGUUGAGUUGAAAUUUUUCAAAGAUUAUUUAACGAGAGUUGUCUAUUUGUUUAGAAAGCUUAGAGGUAAAACUCGAACACCGAAUAUGAUAGAGAAAAGAAUUUUUGUGUAUCUAAAUCUAGGUCUUGCUAAUAGGUGUUUUCGGUGGUUAAGGAAGAAAAAAAAAAAAAAAAAGGGAAUUUUAUGUUAAAAGGAGAACUUUUAAGCUUUUAUUGCAUUACAACAACAACAACAACCAAGUCUUUAUCCCACUAAGUCGGGUCGGCUACAUUGAUUAAAUGUCGCCAUAGUAUUCUAUUAAAAACCAUAUUUGGAUCCAACUCAUUAACCUCUAAAUUUUUCUAAUGGUUUCUCUAAUAGUUUUCUUAGGUCUUCCUCAACCUCUUGUAACCUGACUCCCCUCUAUUUGAUUUACUCUUCUUACAACGGCAUCUACGGGUCUUCUCUAUACACGUUCAAACCAUCUAAGCCUAUUUUCUACCAACUUUUCUACUAUAGGUGCUACCCCCACUCUCUCUCUAAUGGUGUCAUUCCUAAUCCUAUCCUGUCUUGUCCUACCACUCAUCCAGCGCAACAUCCUCAUCUCCGCUACACUUAUUUGACUCUCGUGUUGGCUCUUAACCACCCAACACUCUGUACUAUACAACAUUUUUAGUUUGACUGCUGUCCAAUAGAACUUUCCUUUCAGCUUAAGUGGUACUUUCUUAUCGCACAAAACACCCGAGGCUCUUCUCCAUUUCAACCACCCAGCUUGGAUACGAUGAUUUACAUCUGCUUCUAUUUUUCCGUCGUUUUGUACUGUGGACCCAAUAUAUUUAAACCGCGUAACUUGUGGUAUGAUAUGAUCUCCAACUUUCACCUCCUAGGUAGACCUAAUUCUCCUUUUGCUGAAGUUACAUUCCAUAUACUCCGUCUUGCUUCCACUCAUGGCGAAAACCAUACGCUUCUAAGGCUUGCCUCUAGAUAUCUAGCCUCCCAUUUAACUCCUCCCUUGACUCACCAAGCAAGACUACAUCAUCUGCAAAAAGCAUACAUCUCGGUGCUAACUCUUGAAUGUGUUCCGUAAGUACAUCCAAAGCUAAAGUAAUAAGAUAAAAACUUAGGGUUGACCCUUGGUGCAGUCCUAUUGUUAUGGGAAAAUAUACGGUAUCCCCAUCCUACUUCCUCACACUAGUCGAAGCUCCCACAUACAUAUCCUGGAUAGCUCUAAUAUAGGCAAUCCUCACCCCUUUCUUCUCCAGGGCUUUCCACAAAAUCUCUCUAGGUACUCUAUCAUACGCCUUCUACAAAUCAAUGAAAACUAGGUGUAAGUCUUUUUUAUCCGUCCGAUAUCGCUCCAUCACACGUCAAAGUAAGUAGAUCGCUUCCAUAGUCAACCUCCCAAGCAUAAAACCAUAUUGGUUAUUUGUAACGUGAGUCUCUGUUCUUAGUCUUCGUUCAAUUACCCUUUCCCAUAACUUCAUGGUAUGACUCAUUAGCUUAAUUCCCUUAUAAUUCGCGCAAUGUUGUAUAUCCCCCUUGUUCUUAUAUAUUGGAAUUAAGGUGCUUCUUCUUCAUUCGUCUGGCAUUUUCUUCGUCCUCAUAAUCUCGUUGAACAGUUUUGUGAGCCACACAAUUCCUCCAUCGCCAUGACUUUUCCACACUCCGAUAGGUAUGUUUUCGGGCCCAACUGCCUUGCCAUUACUCAUCCUUUUCAACGGUUCUUUCACUUCGUGCUCCUGAAUCCGACGAUAAUAGUUAUAGUUCCGGUCCUCCUCUCUGAUGUCUAACCUGUUAGAGUCUGGUAAGAUCUCGUAUCCUUCAUUAAAUAAGUUGUGGAAAUAUUUCUUCCAUCUAUCCUUAAUAUCUCUUUCUUGAACCAAAACUCUACCCUCCUCAUCCUUAAUACACUUCACUUGGUCUAGGUCUCUUGUCUUUCGUUCUCGUCCCUUCACAAGCUUGUAUAUAGAUUUCUCUCCCUCCUUGGUACCUAAAGAUAGGUAUAAUCAUUCAAAUGCUUGAGUUCUCGCUUCGCUCACUGCCUUCUUAGCCUCUUUCCUAGCUAUUUUAUAUUUAUCCCAAGUUUUGGCAUUUUUACACCUAGACCAAUCUUUAAAACAAUCUCUUUUGAUCCGGACUUUACUCUGAACACUGUCAUUCCACCACCAAGAUUCUUUAACCCUAAGUCCAAAACCUCAAGAUUCUCCCAACGUCUCUUUUGCCACCUUCUGAAUUUCAUGAGCCAUCCUCUCCCACAUAUCAUGAGCGCUUCCAUGUGGUUGCCUGAAACCUCCCUCUAAUAUCUCGUGUUGGAAGAUCCUUUGUUUUUCACCCUUUAAAUGCAACCACUUGAUUCACAGAGCCCCGCUACGAUCUCUUGUCUUUGCCAUUCUCUUAACCCUUACAUCCAUUACCAUUACUCUAUGUUGGGUAGUUAAGAUCUCUCCAGGUAUGACUUUACAGUCUAAACAGAUCUUCCUGUCUGUUUUCCUAAUGAGAAAGAAAUCCAUCCGAGAACAUGAGGCCCCACUCUUAUAAGUGAUGAGAUGGUCCUCUCUUUUCCUAAAGCACGUAUUAACUAUAGUAAGAUCAAAAGCCAAUGAAAAAUCUAAGAUCGAAUUACCCUCCGCAUUUAACUCCCCGAUACCAUACCCCCCAUUCACGCCCCGAUACCAUACCCCCCAUUCACGCCCUCGAAACCUCUCGAAACACUCCAUACAUGCCCAUUUAAAUCCCCUCCUAGAAAAAUCUUUUCUCCUAAUGGGCUAUCCUAAAUUAAGCCUUCUAGAUCCUCCCAAAACUUUACUUUAAGGUGUUCUUCUAACCCUACUUGAGGUGCAUAAGCGCUAAUAGCCCGUGUACCAAAGCUUAAAUCCUGAACUAUCUAAUUCUUUCGCCUUUUUCCCCACCCAUUUAGUUUCUUGUAGGCACAUAGUGUCUACUGCUUCCAUAGAUUUGCCCGUAAGAGUACCUAUAUUCCAUGUUCCAAAACGAAUCCUACUCUCAUGAACUAGCUUCUUUACCCGCACCCGUUCACGAAGAUGUGGGAACCCUUACUUAUUUUUCACUACAUCCAGGCGGCGAUGUAGCGGCCCUUGUUCAUUUGACACUGCACUCGAGCUAUACAGCGCGUUGCUUCCGGGCAACGACCUAAAAUUCACACUAUUUUGUAUUUGGUUCAUGUCAUAGAGAUUCAACAAAGUUUUACGUUGGCUGUCGAGGCCUAACACAACCCUCUCCUUUUACCCGAGCUUGGGACCGGCCUUGGCAGGAUUAAGCUUUUAUUGCAUUGAUUACACAAUUUUUAAUAUAAAAUACUACUAUAUUUGACUCUUUAACUUUGACCCGCAUAUUUCAAUCAAUGAAUUUUGCGUGAUAAAACGUCGCAGAUUCGGAAACAUGAGUAUUUCGGUGGCUUGAAUACAAAUAUAUUUGUAUGCAUAUGUACUAUGUCGUUUUAUGCUAUUAACAUGGAUAAUGUGAGUUUAUUUGCAUAUAUAUCUUUUUUGUUUUUACCAACUUUAAAUUUGUAUUAUAUCAUUGCACUAAAUCAAUUUCAAAGAAUGAAUAUGGUUUAUUCUGUAAAAAAAUCACAAUUAUUUUAAGGGGGCUGCUAAUUAUUUUUUACUGAUGCCGCCAAAAAUAUAUAGCAAGGAAAAUAUUAAAAAAUAAAAACUAAAGGAUUUUUAGUCAAUUGAUCCUAUCUUAUCUUGGCUGCUAAAACAUUGUGACCGUAUCCCUUAUCUAGCUUGUACAUGCACCUACACGUGUGUAUCUAUAUAUUUUAAUUGUGACAAUACUAUUUUUUAUACAAAAAUAUAUAUUUUUUUAAAUCUAUUUUUUUAAAUCAAAGUCUUUAUGCGUAUAAUUUAGUCGCUCAAAAUGACUACUUAAAUCUAUUUUUUUAAAAUGACAAUAAAUCAAAUUAUCAAUGGAUAUGAUUAAAAAAAUACAAAUUUUUAUCAUAUCGAUCGAACAAUGUUGACAAGAGUGGGUAUAUCUAUACUUCUAUAUUUUUUCAAGAUUCAAGUUGCUUUGUAUAAUUUUUUGUCACAUCACCGGCAUAUCAUAUUUAUCAUAUCACUCUUAUCUGACAUAUCACCGAUUGAAAGUAAUAGAUGAUAUCAAAGUCAGCUCUUGACAGUGACAGUGGCGGAGCUAUAAAAAAUAUCGUGGGUGGACCAGCAAAAUAUACUCUAAUAUAUAAACAUAAACUUUAUGUUGUAAUAAACGCUAAACACAAAGUUUCAUCAAAAACACCUUAGAAAAUUUGCUAAAAAAAAAAAAACCUUAGAAAAUUAAAAUAAAAACUAACUUGAAAUCAUCAAUUACUAACUCAAAACUAAUACAUUAUAAAUUAAAAUAAUAGUGAUCAACCGUUCGAUAUAAACCGUCAUGCUAUCGUUUAGAAUACAUGAAAGUUCAGUAAACAUGGACGAGUUAUCAGAUACAAUAAAUUACAAAAUUAGUGAUCAACAAAAGAAAAUAAACCUCAUGUUACUACAUUAUAUGGUUUGUCUCAUGUAAAUUCAAGGAAAAAUUGCACCAGGAAUCAACAACGUUGGACUGAACCAGUGAACCUUAUUUCUCACAUUAUCAAAAUAAACAAAAAAACCUCAUUUUUCACCAUAUUGGUUAAUGUUUAUCAAAUGUCUUACAUGACUAUUUUCUAAACUAUAUCAUCAAUUCAUCAAAAAUCAAAAUAAUAGUUACAACCUUAAUCCAUCAAAAUUAGCAUGGUUUUUUUCAUAAUUUAUCUAAAAUUGUGGUAUCUUUGUUGUCAAUUCAGGUCUAACAGUGAAGUUCAGUGGUAAAACAUUUUUUGAAGUAAAUCAUUUAUCAGUCACGUACACAAACCUACCCUCAACUAUCAUAUACUUGUUUGUAUAUACAAAAACUCAAACUCCAUUAAUCUUUUAUUUACGAUAAUAUAUAGUAAUUUUACAUCCAAAUCUAGAUAAACGUGAUUAAAUAUUUCUCAUGCAAAUUAGCUCUAUAAAUUAACAGAGGUUGAAAGGAAUAGCAAAAUCGAAAAUCGUAAAAUCGCAAUCAAAAUUGAAGAAUUUUACUUAACUAGUUUUGUAGAAUCGAUAUAGGGUAGGAAAAUCCAAAAUCGUAAAUUCGCAAUCAAAAUCGAUGGAUUCCACCAAAACAAAAAUAAUACUAAUAUAUGUUAUAAAUUGCAUAUAGUCAUAAAUAACUCAAAAUUUUAAGUCCACAAAAUACUUUUACAUAAAUGACUAAAAUCUUACAUGACAAAUGUUUUUUAUUAGUCAUAAUAAUACUAAACAACCUAAACAAAAUACUUAAAGACAAAUCUAGAUGUCUGACAAAAUACUUUAUCAUAAGUGAGAAAGUGACUUUUUUUGAAUGGACAAGUGAGGAAAUGACUAUUAAGUUUCAAGGCACAAAAAAGCGAACAUGCAAUCUGGAUGUAAAGGAAAUUAAACGUAAACGAUGAAGGAUGAUGAAUUCAAGAUGAAACGAUGAUGGAUUGAAGGAAUGGAUGAUCGAUUGAAGGGAAGAGACAAUCUAGUAAGCUAUAAUUCAUUUUUAAUUGGAUGUACGGUGAAGAGAUACUGUGGUGUGAAAGAUUUUUUUUUGGUAUUUUAUGUAUUUAAUAACAGGAACAAUAUAAUAUUAUUAUAGGAAAAUUUACUUAAGGAUAUAAUUGGAAUAAACAAGAAAGUCAACCUAAAAUUCAAUGAACAUAACCAAAAUUCAAAUAUCUUUAAGAACAAAAGACUUAUUUACACAAGCUCUUUAUAAGGGGGCCUGUAAGAUGCACAACCCUAAUAGAGCUAUUUUUAUUACAUAAAUAUUAUUCAGUAACCCUAGCUUGGAAAUUUGAUUCAAACUACAGCUUUUUCAGAUUCAGUAGCAUCAAUAAAUACAACCCUAAAGGGAUCAUUUUCAGUUGGGACCAAACGCCAUCCAUUCUCAUCUCUAUACCUCCCAAUAUCACUACAUGCACCAGGUGGAGCACUGAACAAUGGACAAUACACAAGCUUGUAUGCUCCUGAUCCUGAACCAAGUGUCUCAAUUUUAAAUUUACCUUGAAAAGCAUCAAUAUUAUCACCAAUACCUACCCAAGAUGUAGGGAAAUCAUCAUGAGCAAGCACCCAU